AACGCGAAGAACCUUACCUGGGCUUGAACCGCACAGGACCAUCUUUGGAAACAGAGACUUCCCGCAAGGGACCUGUGUAGAGGUGCUGCAUGGCUGUCGUCAGCUCGUGCCGUGAGGUGUUGGGUUAAGUCCCGCAACGAGCGCAACCCUUACUCGUAGUUGCCACCCGCAAGGGGGAACUCUACGAGGACUGCUCCGGAUAACGGAGAGGAAGGUGGGGAUGAGGUCAAGUCAGCAUGGCCUUUAUGUCCAGGGCCACACACGUGCUACAAUGGGCGGUACAAAGCGCUGCCAACCCGCGAGGGGGAGCUAAUCGCCAAAAACCGUCCUCAGUUCGGAUUGCAGGCUGCAACUCGCCUGCAUGAAGCUGGAAUCGCUAGUAAUGCUAUAUCAGAACGAUAGCGUGAAUACGUUCCCGGGCCUUGUACACACCGAGACGUA
rnacentral:rRNA from 1 species